rnacentral:rRNA from 1 species
UGCAAGUCAAGGGGAAAGGGCUUCGGCCUGAGUACACUGGCGCACGGGUGAGUAACGCGUGAGGAAUCUACCCAUAAGACUGGGAUAACAUGCCGAAAGGUGUGCUAAUACUGGAUGUGUUUCACAGGCGCAUGCUUGUGGAGUAAAGACGGGGCAACCUGUCGCUUAUGGAUGACCUCGCGUCCGAUUAGCUAGUUGGUGGGGUAAUGGCCUACCAAGGCGACGAUCGGUAGCCGGCCUGAGAGGGUGGCCGGCCACACUGGAACUGAGACACGGUCCAGACUCCUACGGGAGGCAGCAGUGGGGAAUCUUGCGCAAUGGGGGCAACCCUGACGCAGCGAUGCCGCGUGGACGAAGAAGGCCUUCGGGUCGUAAAGUCCUUUCGCUGGGGAAGAAAGCUAUUAGUAGUAACUGACUAAUAGUUGACGGUACCCAGAUAAGCAGCCCCGGCUAACUCCGUGCCAGCAGCCGCGGUAAUACGGAGGGGGCAAGCGUUGUUCGGAAUUACUGGGCGUAAAGCGCACGUAGGCGGUUUUGUAAGUCUGGGGUCAAAGGCGACAGCUCAACUGUCGUAAGGCCUUAGAUACUAUAGAACUGGAGUGCCAGAGAGGAUGGCGGAAUUCCCGGUGUAGCGGUGAAAUACGUAGAUAUCGGGAGGAACA